GACAAGUGUAACACUUAUAACUCAAAUAGCACUGACACUCGCUGCUCAGUACUCAAGAUAGUGUGUACGGAGUUGCAGGUAAAGUUUCUUGCGUAAAGUCAGGUGGGAGGUUUCUAGAAAAGACAAGAAACAGCAAACAUGAGUGUAUGGACAGAUUGGCUAGACUUUACCCCGGUCGUGGGUACAGUCAAGAACACGGUUGAAGCUGUAACAGCCGUCUGCCAUGGGGACUAUGACCUUGCGAAGUAAAAAGGAGCCAGUGCCGCUUUGGGUCUUGUGCUGGAUGUUCUCACAAGUGGUACCGAACAUGCCGCUGGGACUGCCGCCUUCAAAGUGGGUCAAAAACUCGCUCUUAAGGGCACUACAGAAAAAGUUGUUGUGAAUGCCAUGACUAAAGCCAGGGCCAGAGCUGGUACAAAAGCAGUUGCUGCUCGGAUUCCGAUCCACGAUUUGGGCAAAAAAUCUAACAGACCCAAAGACCCAAAGACCAGUGAGGAUG